ACCACUUCUCUAGGCUUUUGGGCUAAGAUCAAGUGUGGUAUCUGUUCUUAUCAGUUUAAUAGCUGAUACGUCCUCUAUCCAAGGAUAAUACACUAAAUGGAUUUUUGGAGCAGGGAGAUGUGCUAGGAGCUUGCUCUGUCCACUCCAUCAAUACAUCGACCUGGCAUUGCAGUACCUCCAGGAAUGGUGUACCCCCC
ensembl:snRNA U2 U2 spliceosomal RNA